AUAUGGGGGUCUCACUUUGUUGCCUAGGCUGGAGUGUAAUGGUGAUUCUGACAAAUGAUCAUAGCAUGCUACAACCUCUACAUCCUGAGCUCAAGAGCUUCUCCUGCCUCAGCGUCCCAAGUAACUGGGACUACAGGUUCUCACUGUGUCACCCAGGCUGGAGUGCAGUGGCAUGAUCAUAGCUAAUGGUACAUCUUGAAUUUCUGGAGUCCAGAGAUCCUUCCCUCUCAGCCUCCCAAGUAGCUAGGACUAUAGGUGUACGCUACCUUGCCCCGCUUUCUUUGCUUUGGUAGACAGGGCUUCAACACAUCGCUGUUUAACUACAUUGCCAGCUGAUCUCCAGCUCCUGGCCUAAAGCAGUCUUCCCAUUUUGGCCUCCCAAAGUGCUGGGAUUGCAGGCA
rnacentral:lncRNA from 1 species